ensembl:lncRNA
UUGGGGCAAAUUCGGGAAAUUUCGGAGAAUUUGGGGCGGAUUUUCAGGUCCAGGGGGGAAAAUGGGGACAGAUUUGGAGAUCUGGGGGCAAACCUGGGGAAGCUCGGGGCUGAUUUGGGGGUGGGGGCAGAUUUGAGGUGUUUCAGGACAGAUCUGGGGGUCCCAGGCUCCCAUCCUCCACCCCUUCCACGUGAAAAUCGCAAUAAUUUCCGAUUUCACCCAAAUCCGUUCCCAGCCUGGGGCAGCCUCACUCCCCCGCCCCCUCCCCGAGCUCGGAGCUUUGCGUGUAAAAAACCCAAUUUUUGCGCAAUGGCUGAAAAGUUCCAUUUCCUGGGGCCGGCCGGCGCUUCCUUCCCGCGCCCGCGCCCCGGCCCGGCUGCCCCGGCCGCUCCCGGCUGAUUCCUCCGUCCCGGGGAGCUCCCGGAGCGGGAGGAGGAUGAAGAUGAGGAUGAGGAUGAGGAUGAGGAUGAGGAUGGGGCUCCUUCUCCUCGUGGCUGCGGCCUCGUGCUUGAGCCAGACUGGGCACGAGCCCGGCGAGGAUUCCCGGGGUUCCCGCCGCCGUUCCGGUACCGCCGCCGCCCCGCGCCUCCUCCCGGCGCCGCUGCUGCUCCGGCUGCCCCCGGAGCCGGGCCCGCCCCGGAUCCGCUGCCUGGCCCCGCGGCGCUUCGCCGGCAGCACCUUCGAGCUGCUGCGGGGGCUCCCGGCGGCGCCGCUGCGGAGCCUCCCGGCCGCUCCCGAGCGCCACUGGGCCGAGUUCGCCCUGCCCGGGGCCGCCGGCUGCUUCCGCUGCCGGUACCGGAGCCACAACGGCAGCGCCUGGCUGGAGUCGGAGCUGAGCCCCGGCACCGGCGGCUCCGAUUUGGGCGAUGCCGAGUGUCAGCCGAGCACGGGCACCGGCACCACCGCGGCACCCGCAGCCACGGCCGGGACCCCGCGGAACGGCACCGGGACCCCGCGGAACGGCACCGGGACCCCGCGGAACGGCACCGAUCCUCCCUGGGUCCUCCCGGUCUCGGUCGGUGUCGCCUUCCCGGGGCUGCUGCUGCUGCUGGGGGCUGCGACCGCGGCCGGGCGAGGCGUCCGGCGGCGGCGCGCACAGAGCCCCACGGUGCCGGCCCCGAGCUUCCCCUUGGCCCCCGCGCCGACGCCGCCGUGCCCGUGAGGGGUCCCGGGAGUCCCGGUGAGGACACGGAGCCGGGAGCGCGUCCUGGUGUCCCCACGGAUCGAGGCUGGCCCUGGAUCCGGUCACCGGGAGCCCUCCGGGAGGAACCCCUCGCCCCCUCCGGUGCUGCCGGGGCUCCCCCGGACUCUCGGCUGCCAAUAAAGGUGUUCGUCUCCAGCGCUGCCGCAUUCCCGGUGUCCCAUUCCCAUUCCCGUUCCCAUUCCCGUUCCCGGUGUCCCGUUCCCAUUCCCGUUCCCGGUGUCCCGUUCCCGUUCCCCGUUCCCGGUGCCCGUUCCCGUUCCCGGUGCCCGUUCCCGUUGCCCUCCCAUCCGCCAGGGGGCGCCACCGCCCCCUCGCGCCGCCGGGAUUUGGGGGCGUGUCCAUCCCGGGGUGGGCGUGUCCACCGCGGGG